rnacentral:lncRNA from 1 species
AAUUGUUCUUGAGAUAAAAAUUGGGAAUUAGGGUUGAUGCUGAUUCUGAAAGGAAUGGUGUAAGAAUCAUGUUUAAUGUGUUGUAAUUUGGUGUUCAAAAUGGUUUCUUAAUCUAUAACAUUGUUGUGAUAAGAAUUUGAAUGAAAUUAGAAUCUGUUUGAUAAAUUGGAGAAGUUUUGUAUGAUUGCUAGAAUGACCUG